UACGUAGGGUGCAAGCGUUGUCCGGAAUUAUUGGGCGUAAAGAGCUCGUAGGCGGUUUGUCGCGUCUGCUGUGAAAACUCAGGGCUUAACCCUGAGCCUGCAGUGGGUACGGGCAGACUAGAGGUGUGGUAGGGGAGAUCGGAAUUCCCGGGUGUAGCGGUGAAAUGCGCAGAUAUCGGGAGGAACACCGGGUGGCGAAGGCGGUUCUCUGGGCCUGUACUGACGUGGAGGAGCGAAAGCCGUGGGGAGCGAACAGG
rnacentral:rRNA from 1 species